UACGGAGGGUGCGAGCGUUGUCCGGAAUCAUUGGGCGUAAAGGGCGCGUAGGUGGCGGCUUAAGCGUGCGGUGAAAGCUCGGGGCUCAACCCCGAGUCGGCCGUGCGAACUGAGUCGCUUGAGCACUGUAGAGGCAGGCGGAAUUCCGGGUGUAGCGGUGAAAUUCGUAGAUAUUGGGAAGAACACCGGUGGCGAAGGCGGCUCUCUGGACCGAUACUGACGCUGAGGCGCGAAAGCGUGGGGAGCAAACAGG
rnacentral:rRNA from 1 species